UCGAUGAGUAAGCUUUUUUUCGAUCGUCUCAUUGAGUCCACAGUAAUAUCGCUCUGCCCUUGACCUCUCUGUGGAAAACUUCCAUUUACUCUCUCGUCUUAAGAGUUAGGCGUAAAAAGCAUGAAACACGACAAGCUUUUUUUUAAAAAAAAUUCGGUCACCGACUAUCAAAAGCGCGAACCAUUUAAAACGGAAGUGCCCAAAUCAGGGACGGAAUGCGCGUCUCUUUUAGGGACCGUUUCCGCUAAAUUUCUCCGGAUGCCGGUUUUUUACUUGUAGUUUUGAGGAAGACGCCCGGGUGUUAUUGCUGGCUUUUCCUGAGUCAUGUAGCUAGGCUAGAAAUUUAGCUGGAAGAGGCGACAUUCAAGGCAGCGGUCGGAGGUGUAACAGGGUAAGUGUUGCUGGGGAAGUAAAUGCCGUCUGUCAAAGCCCCCGCUCCUGAAGAGAAAAGGGAGAUCCUUAAUGAAGGAUUAAGGGUUCGCGGUCAAAAACUGAGAUGCUGGAUCGAGCCGCUGACCCGAGAAUAGCCCAUUUGGUGGGCACGUUUCGCCUGUGAGGAACUUUUAACAUAAAAGAACGCUAUGAUAUGUACAACAGUUUUUGCUUUGCCUAUAUUAAUUAGAAGUGCCAGUAGAAUUCUUCCCUGCUGUUCUUCAUACUUGUGUCUAAGACAGGCAGCUGUAAGAUACUGCACAAUAAAUGGUAAAAUGAAAUCCAGAAGAAAGUCAGACCACCUGGAGAGAACAGCAAAUGACUUUCGGCAUGAGAUUAUUUCUAAAGCAAAAGUGUGUGGCAUCAACAAUGAAUCUGAAAUGGUUAAAAGACUCCGUUUGGCAGUGAUGGAUAAAGAAUUUACUUUUAAGGCAGGAC